rnacentral:lncRNA from 1 species
UAUAUAACCCAAUGCCACUCUUUAAAGUUAUGAUUUUUGCAAAACUAAAAAAAUAACUUUAAUAUAUGCUUUUCAGUUUUUAAAUAAAUAAUUCAUUUUUCUAAUUUUAAUAUGAAUUUAAAUCAUUAACUUAUGAAAAAAUAUGGAAGUUUCACAAUACAUUCUAUGAUUAGCAUACUGAAUGGCUCCUAGAAUGUAUAAUUUUAUCUUGUUCUCUUUCGUGUAUACUGCGUAUGCUGGUAUUUGGAUCUCGCUUUUUUCUUUGCAGUAGUUCAGGUCCAACGGUAUAAACCGCUGAGGAAGCGCUAACGCGAAAAUCGUUGGCCUUCGAAAUAUCUUGCUCGUCACGUGAAAAAGGUGGUCUUGAAGCCUCAAUAGGGUUGUUUGAAGAUGAACGGGUUGUUGGCAGAUUUUCUGGAAGCCUCGAUACGGCCAUAUACACUGUUAAAACGAUUAGAACCGUGAGUUGAAGCAUUAAAAGUCGCUUUUGAAAAGAUGAUUCUUGAUAUAGUGAAGUAAUUUGACUCUGAAAGUAUUCAUUUUCUGCAGAAAGAAGCUCAAGUUUAGCUUGGAGAGCAAACAAAGACGGCUUAACGACACUUUUCGACAAUUUCGAAAUUUCUAAUUGAAGGGUCGAGUUCAAUUCAUGUAAUAGCUGCGUAAAAUUCAUGUUUUUGGCAUUGUGCUUACCAUAAUUUGUUAAUAUUUUUUCUACAAUUUCAUCAAAUGCCUUCUUCCGUUCUUCUAAGGUAGAAAGACGCUUAUUUAUGUUUUUGUAAAUGCUUUCCUGAUUAGAAGGAAAGGUAGAUAUUUGAGCGGUACUGUAAGAAGAUGAAGAAGAUGGAGAAAUAUCGUUAAAAGAGCGAGUUGAUGUUGCAGGAUAUGAUUCACUUUUUCCUGUUUCAUUUCCUAUAACAACAGUGCUCAAAGACUUAGAUAUCACAGUAGAAGAAAGUAAGGUGUCUGUACUAUUCAACUCGACUGAUGGAUUCUUUCUCACUGGUUUGCUUUGAACAUCGGUAUCUUCUUCGUCCACAAAAAUAGGACUUUCUUGAGGCUUCCGGAUUUCAUCUGCUUUAAUAGCGCUUCCGUCGUUCACUUUUUGUUCUAAGAAGUCUUCAUUUGCUUCUUCAAAUUCUUCUAUCAUAGUUUUUCCAUAAACCCUAAGUAGGCUUACAGGACAAUAAAAUUCUGACCCAUAAUGAGUUAAAAACUCUAUUUUAAGAUACUUCGCCCAAAUAAGAGGGUUCUCAAUAUGAAAAGAUUGAAGAGUCCUUAGGUUUAAGGCCGUAAAUGUACCCAAUUCCAUCCAAGAAGACUCGUAUUUUGGAUAUUUACCGCUUACACUGACCUUGAAAUCACGAAAUAUACUUGAAAAAAAUUCGAAGUUGGCAAUUUGAACUGUAUCGACAUAAAUAUCCUCACAAAGUUCAAUUACCACGAACUUGUUUUCAGCGGAACAUUUGUUCAGCAUAUAUUUGUCUUUGUUUUCGGUCAGAAUCGAAGAAGAUCCGACUGCUUCAGGAUUUGUUUUAAUGACAGCAGCA